rnacentral:rRNA from 1 species
GAGAAAGGUAUUAUUAAAGGUUAAAUUAUACUUUAACUCUUCCUUUGUUUUCUUAAAUGCCAUUUUUU